UACAGAGGGUGCGAGCGUUGUCCGGAAUCACUGGGCGUAAAGGGCGCGUAGGUGGCGACCCAAGUCGAUGGUGAAAGCUCGCCGCUCAACGGCGAGUCGGCCACCGAUACUGGGUUGCUGGGAGCACUGUAGAGGCUCAUGGAAUUCCGGGUGUAGCGGUGGAAUGCAUAGAGAUCCGGAAGAACACCGGGUGGCGAAGGCGGUGAGCUGGGCAGUUGCUGACACUGAGGCGCGGACAGCGUGGGGAGCAAACAGG
rnacentral:rRNA from 1 species